rnacentral:rRNA from 1 species
AUUGAACGCUGGCGGCGUGCUUAACACAUGCAAGUCGAUCGGUAACAGGUGUAGCAAUACAUGCUGACGAGAGGCGGACGGGUGAGUAAUGCUUGGGAAUCUGCCUAUUAGUGGGGGACAACCCGGGGAAACUCGGGCUAAUACCGCAUACGCUCUACGGAGGAAAGCCGGGGACCGCAAGGCCUGGCGCUAAUAGAUGAGCCCAAGUCGGAUUAGCUAGUUGGUAGGGAACGGCCUACCAAGGCGACAAUCCGUAGCUGGUCUGAGAGGACGACCAGCCACACCGGAACUGAGACACGGUCCGGACUCCUACGGGAGGCAGCAGUGGGGAAUAUUGGACAAUGGGGCAACCCUGAUCCAGCGACGCCGCGUGGGUGAAGAAGGCCUGCGGGUUGUAAAG